AGUCGAACGGCAGCACGGGCUUCGGCCUGGUGGCGAGUGGCGAACGGGUGAGUAAUACAUCGGAACGUGCCCUGUAGUGGGGGAUAACUAGUCGAAAGAUUAGCUAAUACCGCAUACGACCUGAGGGUGAAAGCGGGGGACCGCAAGGCCUCGCGCUACAGGAGCGGCCGAUGUCUGAUUAGCUAGUUGGUGGGGUAAGAGCCUACCAAGGCGACGAUCAGUAGCUGGUCUGAGAGGACGAUCAGCCACACUGGGACUGAGACACGGCCCAGACUCCUACGGGAGGCAGCAGUGGGGAAUUUUGGACAAUGGGGGCAACCCUGAUCCAGCAAUGCCGCGUGUGUGAAGAAGGCCUUCGGGUUGUAAAGCACUUUUGUCCGGAAAGAAAUGGCCUGGGUGAAUACCCCGGGUCGAUGACGGUACCGGAAGAAUAAGCACCGGCUAACCACGUGCCAGCAGCCGCGGUAAUACGUAGGGUGCGAGCGUUAAUCGGAAUUACUGGGCGUAAAGCGUGCGCAGGCGGUUUUGUAAGACAGGCGUGAAAUCCCCGAGCUUAACUUGGGAAUGGCGCUUGUGACUGCAAGGCUAGAGUAUGUCAGAGGGGGGUAGAAUUCCACGUGUAGCAGUGAAAUGCGUAGAGAUGUGGAGGAAUACCGAUGGCGAANGCAGCCCCCUGGGACGUCACUGACGCUCAUGCACGAAAGCGUGGGGAGCAAACAGGAUUAGAUACCCUGGUAGUCCACGCCCUAAACGAUGUCAACUAGUUGUUGGGGAUUCAUUUCUUCAGUAACGUAGCUAACGCGUGAAGUUGACCGCCUGGGGAGUACGGUCGCAAGAUUAAAACUCAAGGAAUUGACGGGGACCCGCACAAGCGG
rnacentral:rRNA from 1 species